rnacentral:lncRNA from 1 species
GCAAUUCAUUUAGCCAUUUAUAUUUGCAAAUUUAACCCCUUCCCUACCUUGACUCAUUUGUAAAACCAUUUUGGGCCAUUUAAAGUGACCUAAUUCAGCCCAAAUUCAAUUCUAAAGAAACCCAUUCCAAUAUAAUUCCAAUUAACCCAUAUGUACAGCAGGCCAAACCGACCCAGACCCCUGCGUCUUUGUCUUCUUCUCCUUCAACACGCAGAAAACGACUAGGAACGUACAACAGCAGCCCAGACGCGUCGACACACGCAACAGCAAGGCAGAGCACGCGUCCUACCCCUUUCCUCUUCCGGAAUGGGGCAAUUUUUGUAGGAAAAAGUGUUUAGCCGAAUUGGUGAAAGAUUUUUGAAUUCAAAUUUUUGAAAUGGAGCCGAUUCUCAUCCGGAUUUUCGUCCUUUUUCCCAUUUAUUCCGAACCCUAGCUUCUUCUAUAUAUUAUUGGAUUAUUCAUUUUUAAAAGGGGGGGACUUUGGUUUUGAAAUCUUAGAGUUAAAUAUACACAGAAUAGCUUAAGCGGAAAUAGCGAGAAUACCUACUAACUAUUCAAGGAAAGGAGAGGAGAUAUUUGCUUUGAGUGUUUGGAUUCGAUAUUCCUACCUUCUUAACCACUGUUCGCGCUCGGAAUUGCUUAGUGGUGAAGUCACCCCUGCUUGUCACCGUCUCCAGUUCGGCUGCACUCUAAAAGGUAACAUCUAUUCCUGCUCAUCGUCAUUUGUCUCUCAAUGUGUUGACUGUUUGAUUUCGACCGCAUAAGUUGUAGAAUCGUAAAUUUCAAAGAGUUCGCAGUAGUCUGCUCGGAUUGUCUUACUCGAAUAUCAAUUUAGUUUCACAUACCCUUCAAACUAUACUUUGUUUUUAUCUUUAUCUUUUUUCCGCAAUGGGUUCAAAACCUUGCUUCUGUAUAUGUACAAAUCCCUGCUCAACGCCUUGUGUCUUUCUGUUAAGUGAUUUGAGUUAAAUCUUGACUGAUGAUUUCCGACGAAUUUAAAAAAAAGAGUUCUCGUCUGCUUGCAUAUUUGGGAGUCUAUUAUUGGGAUUCUAUUUACUUUGUUUUGAUUCCAUUUCUAUGUGAGCCAACAUCUCUGUUUCCUGCAUUGUGAGGUUGCCCAAUGAAUUAAGUGAUUAGGGAUGUAGUUAAUGCAUCUUCUUGAUCAUUAAGUCAAAAGGCAAGAUUCAGUUUCUUUCUUAAGUCGUUAUUAGAUUUUUAUAACAUGUCGUUUCUUGGUGCUAACAAUUUCGAGUUCACUUGAAAAAUGGGUGUCAUGUUUGAGUAGUAGGUUUGCUUUAGUUUGUUCUCUUCUUAAACUAAAAUAAAAUUGAGAAGUCCGUCCAUUAACCGCUAGAACAUGCUGUCAAAAAAAAUAAUCAUAAAGAAAAAAAUAAACCACGCCUCAUCCUCCUCAUCUCAUUUGUUCUCCUCCUUAGUUUGUAUGUAGCCGUAGUUGAAAACCUGAGCAUUCUGUCUGUUAUUUACUGCUGUCUAGAUCUGCUUAAUUUCACGAAGAUUAAUUUUAUUCCGAAUCAUAUUUCAUUGCAUGAUUUGCGAAAUCUCCCUUGUUCAUUAAGACUUGAGUCCUCCGGUUUAUUCCCAAAAUUUAAGUGUUUUUCUUUUCACAUUAGUAGAUAGCAUUUGAGUUUCAAGUUCCUUUGUAUGCUUAAUAAUUUGAUUAGCUCAAUAUUUUUUUUAGUGGAACACAUUAAGUUACGU